rnacentral:lncRNA from 1 species
CCACUUCUGUUGAUGUUCUUUUAUAACCAUGACUACUCUGCAGUCUGUUUUAACCUGGACAUUUGUAUUCCUUUUUGGCCCUUUCUCGCUCCCCUGAUGUUCUAUGCAAUUAUCUUGUUCCUGCUGAUCAGCUUUUUUUGUUUUUCCAUGCUUGUUACAUUUCAGCUCCACCUUUGUAACCUCAUUGUUUCUUUUUUUGUUGGAAGUUCUGAAAGUGUGGGUGAUUGCUGGUUUAAAACCAGCCAAAAACCCAUAGAAGAAUAAGAAGUGCUCUGCAUCUCCCCUGGUCUUAAAUUCCAUCCCAACUUGAGGUGUAUAUUUGCUGUCUAUUGGUGCAUUGUUUCCUUCUAAUGCAGCUAUCUGCUCACUCAUAAUGAAGGCAUCGAUCUGAUCCUCUGUUAACUCUUCUUCACUUCCAUCUGUUUUUUUAAAUUCUGCAGCAUCAAAGUUUUCACGAGCACUUGAUGUUUCAACUGCCCUUCCAUCUACAUUUGGUGCACAAUCAGGUAGUUGUUCUACAUGCAUUCCUUCAAAGAGAUCUCUGUGGUAUACUGCUUCACCAUAUUUAGAUGCACCGGCUUCAAUGCAUCCCCCAAAUGUCUCCUACAUAAAUACCCGUUAUUUUUGUUAGUUGUUAGUUUAUUUUUUUAUUUUGUUUUGUUCUCAAAUGUGUAUUUGUCUGCAUGAUCAGAUCAUUUGGAGUUUUCGAGAUGGAUGAUUUCGUACCUCGGCGUAUGCACUUGAACAUCCAUCCACUUCAAAAUUCUUGUAUGUAUUCUCCUCUGAGUUAUGCUGCAUAUGUUUAUUGCUUUUUCCCAAGCUCCACACCUUUCCUUGGACAUGUUUGCAUCUGCAAGCAGGGUGUCGCUCUCAAGAAUCAUUUGUGUGUAUGUCUCCCAUGGCUUUUCUAGUGUGGUGUUGUUCAUGGUUUCAUUUUGUGUGUCCAUGCCACUAUGCAUUUCAUUGCAUUCAUCACUUGCUGAUUCUCCUUGUGAGUUACGUAUCUGUUCCAUCAUCAGGUCCAUGUAUCCCCCCUGCAUAAUCAUCAAGGCUCAAUCAAAUAUUCAUAUUAUAUUUUCUGUGAUAGGUGCAUAUUAUUUUGUGUGUGUGUAGGGUGGCUGGGGUUUUCGUGCAUUUUUUAUUACCUGGUUUGACACAUAUGGGAACGACAUUUGUGUGCACAUCUGACUGCUUGGUGAUUGUGUUGUUCCACUCUGAGUCAAAGAGGUUCCAGCCAUCUAUAUUUUUGUUUAUGCAUUCAUAAAAAUCACAAAAGUCAGUUUUCAAACAUGUGAAUAGAUUAUCUUUCUCAAUUGUAAUUUCUAGAAUUGAGAUAUAGCUACCUGACUACUUCCAAUUAUUCGCAAUAUAUACUGUUGAAAAUUGUUGAUUUCAUCUUGCGAGAAUAUGUUAUUUUCUCUGACAGUCUUGGUAGUGUCAUAUUCAUGAACCUGCAAAAGGGAAACAAAAUUAUGAUCAGUUGUUUUUUUUGCAUUGGCACAUAAAUUUAGGUGCCCAUGGCUUUGUUCUAUAUGAUGUUUUUUUGCAGCAAAGGCAGUAGAUCACUUUUUUGGGGUGAUGUAGGAGGAGCUUUUUUAAGAGGCCAUGCAUGUUAUGACUUUUUUUUGAAUUUGUUUUUGCAGACCUUGUUUAUGGACAUAUAGCUAGACGAAAUGCAGGUAUGUUACCGCUGCUUUUUUAUCUCUUAUCAUUGUCCUAUGCAAUUCAUUUUUUUGUUGUGGCAGCUGUUGUGCUCUAGUCAU